CAUAUCGAUAUAUUAAAAUUUACGCACAUUUAAAUGUAAUAAUUUAAAAACAUGUACACACUGAUACAUUCAUCCGGAAAAGGAUGAGAAGGAUCAAGUGCGACUUUUUUGGCGGCAACGUAAUGAGAAAGUGCAAGUACGACCGAGUACAGAACGAUUCGCGAAGAUGCACGAGCUUACGUGGGUGGAGGAUACCGAAGGGCACGUACGCGAAGGUGGAAGGUGAGGCAAUGAAGAGAGGUGCAGCAAAAGCAGAAGCCGGAGGCACGAAGGGAGCGCGGAUUCGCGCGCGAAUCACGAGUGUAUGGGUUGUCGGGUGGUAACCCAGUUUCGCCAGUGCACCAGGCCAAGCUGCAGGCACCGCUGUGAACCGAUCGAUACCUAUAUGCACCCGGCGCUGCUGCCCACAGCCUAGAUUCGCCGUUUAGUCUAGGAUAGGUACCGCGAGAAGGGGAUCGCAUGACCCGCGUGACCCACAUCUCGCGGAAGAGAAAAAGUCAUGCUGAUCAUCUCGAACUUGCACCUCGACCUGUCGAUUCGCCUAUUGUCACGUUACGUUACACGUAGUACGAUUGCUGCAAUCGGUUUAAUCGUUUGCAAUGUUACGCCGAAUGUGAUUCGUGCGCGCGACGAUACUGUAUUUAAUAUAAAUAUAUAAAUACAAAAGUGUGCAAUGUAGUUUGUAUAAUUUAUACACUAAGAUAUUAAAGUAAACGUGAAAUAUCAAAUACGAUAUUUGAUCGUUUGAAAAUCGCCACCCUUGAAAAUCGUUCGAGGACAAAUGUCGAAAGAAAGUCGACUUGGAUCAUAAAACAUGAUUUGUCUUUGGAGAAACUCCAAAUCCUGGAUAUUAUAAAAAAUAUUUCAGGUCAUAUAUUUCAAUUACUCUCAAAAAUAUCUGGUAUAAUGUGCAGGAAUAUUUCCGAAAUAAUCUUUUUUUUAGUACUGUUCAAUACAGGAAGAGUGCACCGACAGAAGAAAGCCGACAGAAGAAGUAUCUAUAAAGAACAAUAAGAGCAGGCAGCAAGCAGAGUUUUGAGCUCUCACCCCCUCGAGUUGCUGACCUUGGAAAAGCAUGGAAACCUCGUGGUGUCGAACGAUCUCUCUCUUUCUCUCUCUCUUUUCCUAACUCUAUGUGGGCGUUUGGUAGGUUAGCAGCCUGCGAAAAGUGUGAGAGAGAAUGAAUAGCGGAGGAGAUGGAAAAGGGGUGAACAGGAGCAAGAGGGGAAAGAGGAGGAAACCAUGCAUCGCAAACGUCUGGACGAGAGACGAUGAGUCUCGGUGAAGAGAGGGUCGAUAUUUGCCAGCCUUUUUCCUCCUCCUCUCGUCCCCCUCCGGGCAACGACCUCCCUACCCCCUCGUACGCUCGUAUCCUCGCUACCAUCCCUCGUUGAUACGACCUGCGCCACGCAUUAUCCUAACCCCCGAACGAUGCCGAACGAUGCAACGUGGUCAUGAACGAUCGAGCAACGACCGCGCUUGUCUCAAGAGAUGAAUUAUUUCGCCGGUCCUUUGCCUUUAAGUGUCAAACUGUCAACUUUACGUCCGCGUAACUGUCAUUGCAUUGUCAAUUAGAUCGAUCAAACAGUUGCGCGCGCGCGACUAGAAUUAACAAAUUUUAAUAAACUGACAAUGACCGACAAAAGUUAUUUUGAUCCAUAAAAUUUUCAAGAUUCCUAGGAUAACGCGCGCACCACGCUGCAAGUUACGAAACUAAUCUCCGGAACCUCCGUCGAUAACCGGAAAGACUAAUCACGCACGUAAAUAUUUAGUGAGUGAAUAGGCGUACGAAUGCAAAACAGCGAGUGAUAUCGUCGACUUAACAUUCCAAUUGUAAGAUGUCUACCAUUUGAUAAAUAUGAAGAGAUAUUACUAUUAUUUAAAAUUUUCCAGCACUUUUCUCUCGAUAACCUUUUCGACAGACUACCGAAUUGGCAAAAUUAGUUUCUUUCGCUACGUGGUCAACGCGAUCACGUAGUGAAAUAACAGAAAUAUUCAGUGAUUUCUUAAUCAUCGUAACAUGCAGUGGAUGGAAUUGAAAACAUUCGGAGCAAAAAUAUAGUCAAAUGUAUCAGAUUA